rnacentral:rRNA from 1 species
GAGUUUGAUCCUGGCUCAGAUUGAACGCUGGCGGCGUGCUUAACACAUGCAAGUCGAGCGGUAACAGGCGUAGCAAUACGUGCUGACGAGCGGCGAACGGGUGAGUAAUGCUUCGGAAUCUUCCCGGUGGUGGGGAAUAACUUGGGGAAACUCAAGCUAAUACCGCAUACGACCUACGGGUGAAAGCAGGGGAUCGCAAGACCUUGCGCCAUUGGAUGAGCCGAAGUCGGAUUAGCUAGUUGGUGGGGUAACGGCCUACCAAGGCGACGAUCCGUAGCUGGUCUGAGAGGACGACCAGCCACACUGGGACUGAGACACGGCCCAGACUCCUACGGGAGGCAGCAGUGGGGAAUAUUGGACAAUGGGGGCAACCCUGAUCCAGCGACGCCGCGUGUGUGAAGAAGGCCUGCGGGUUGUAAAGCACUUUUAGUGGGGAUGAAAAGCCAGGGGCUAAUACCUUCUGGUCUUGACCUAACCCAAAG